rnacentral:rRNA from 1 species
GCCUUAGUAACGGCGAGUGAAGCGGCAACAGCUCAAUUUGAAAUCUGGCCCUAGGCCCGAGUUGUAAUUUGCAGAGGAUGCUUUUGGCGCGGUGCCUUCCGAGUUCCCUGGAACGGGACGCCAUAGAGGGUGAGAGCCCCGUCUGGUCGGACACCAAGCCUCUGUAAAGCUCCUUCGACGAGUCGAGUAGUUUGGGAAUGCUGCUCAAAAUGGGAGGUAUAUGUCUUCUAAAGCUAAAUACCGGCCAGAGACCGAUAGCGCACAAGUAGAGUGAUCGAAAGAUGAAAAGCACUUUGAAAAGAGAGUUAAAUAGCACGUGAAAUUGUUGAAAGGGAAGCGUUCAUGACCAGACUUGGCCCGGUUGAUCAUCCAGCGUUCUCGCUGGUGCACUCUGCCGGUCCAGGCCAGCAUCAGUUCGUCGCGGGGGAUAAAGGCUUCGGGAAUGUAGCUCCCCUCGGGGAGUGUUAUAGCCCGCUGCGUAAUACCCUGCGGUGGACUGAGGUCCGCGCUCUGCAAGGAUGCUGGCGUAAUGGUCAUCAACGACCCGUCUUGAAACACGGACCAGGGAGUCGUCUUUCGUAUGCGAGUGUUCCGGGGGUCAAACCCCUACGCCGUAAUGAAAGUGAAACGCAGGUUAAAAGCUUCGGGGGCAUUCAUCGAACCGAUGCCUGAAGGUUCUUCGGAAGGGAUUUUGAAGUAAAAAACUUACCGGGGCCCGGAACCCGAAAAGAAAGGGGGAACUUAUGCCCUGUAUAAGGGUGGAAAGCCCAAAGGAAAAAUUUUUGGGGGGAAGGUUCCCGAAACGGUUUCUUAACGGGGCAAAUUCGAACUGCCCAAAAUUGGGGGCUUGGGGGGGCCAAAAAACAAUAAAGGAAACCU